UACGUAGGGUGCGAGCGUUAAUCGGAAUUCCUGGGCGUAAAGCGUGCGCAGGCGGUUCGUUAUGUCCGAUGUGAAAGCCCCGAGCUCAACUUGGGAAUGGCAUUGGAAACUGGCGGGCUGGAGUGUGGCAGAGGGGGGUGGAAUUCCACGUGUAGCAGUGAAAUGCGUAGAGAUGUGGAGGAACACCGAUGGCGAAGGCAGCCCCCUGGGCCAACACUGACGCUCAGGCACGAAAGUGUGGGGAGCAAACAGG
rnacentral:rRNA from 1 species